UCCUGCACUGUGGGCAGAAGUUUCGCGGGCCGGAUGGCACCGCGUCGCGGGCCGGACAUGGCCCGCGGGCCGUAGGUUGUGCAUCCCUGGUAUACAGUAACACAAGCUGGAUGAAAUUGUCUUGUAGGAUACCUUUGUGUGUGAGUACAAUUUUUUCUUAAUUAGUGCAUUUAUGUUUUGUAUAAUAAAAAUAUAAGUUGGGGGGUUUGUGUGGGGAGAGGGUGGUUGCUGCGCGCGCAUGCAUAUGAAUGUGGAUGUGUGUUAAACGAGGCUUAUAUUAUGACAAUGACAAUAUUGGCCAGACAUCAUAAACAAGUUCCUGUUGGAUCCAACCUCCUGUCCGUCAAAGAGAUCAUUGCAGUCUUCAAACAUUGCCGUGACAGGUAUCAAUAUCAACCGUCAUCCAGGUGACGAAAACAGCUCCAUGAACCUAAUUUUUCAUACUCUUGGCUGAAGGGCCAUGGCUGGCCGGUUUUGUGGCUGCUCGUUUCUUUUCAAAUGUCUUCUCUAAGCCAUCAGUACCUCGUGAUAUUUCCAGGCCUAUAAUCACAGUUCACCCAAAGGUCGGGACUGAUUAAAUACCUCUUUUUAUAUCUUUUAAAAAAAUCCUUGUCGUCCAUAACCACCCACUCCACUUCUUAAGACACUGGCACAGAAAGAUUAAGAAACAUGUCAAGAGACUUAUUGCAAUUUCUCUCGAGAUAUAACCUAAUCGAUGCGAACUUUCGACCUAGCAGCUCGUGAUAGCCCUGCCCUCGACCUGACGGCUCUGAUGAUUAGUGCCCUUGACUGUGGAAAAAGAGGUGGCGAGUUCGAGGCCCGGUUUGGGUCUGUGGCUGGCAUAGUCUCCUGCCCACACAGCAGCUUUAUCAGCAGACACUGGCGCCUGAUUUAUCUGAUAAUGGAAUGACAAUCGGAUGAUGAUUCACUCAACAGCAGCCCUCAUCACCACCAAGUAGGGAAAGAAGGGCAAUGCAGACUGUAAAGAACACUGCACUUUGAACUUCAGAGCAACACCUCUAUGCCAUGGAUGGAAUCCAGCAGAGCUGUUGAUGAGAAAGUAGCUCCACCAACACAGGAUGUUCCAGAAAAGGGAGAUCUGGAUCAGUUUCAGAAAACAAACACCCGAAGCAUCAGCAAAAGAAAUAUGACAGACAGCCAGGGAUGUGAAACCUUAGAUAAGAAAGUACUGUAGGUCAAGACCACACAAGAUGAAGCAAACGUAAACACAACAAGAUUAUACACAGUACAAGCGAAAGAUGAAAGAAGAAAUAAUUUUUGUUGCAGUAGCAUGAAGCCAAGUAGUCCAGGUGUAAUUCCCAGAGCAGAGGAAAAGCCAUGAAUGAGAUACAGGACGAUGAUGACACAGAUGCAUUUCACAUUAAAUGCAAAGGAAAUCAGAGGCACCUGUAGCUCACAGCCAGGCAUGGUCCACAACAGAUAUGGCCAAAAAAUUUAAGCUGCCAGAUUAAUGUACUGAAAACUGUUUUAAAAACAAAACAGAUUAUUAAAUUGUUGCAUGUUUUCAAACAUUGUUUUCCAAAGCUCAGUAAAGGGUAUAUAAAAUCACUUUGGACGAUUCCUCUAUGAUUAAAGCUUGUGUCUACAGUUUAAGAUCUGUAGCAUCUGCAGACACCAUGAACUAAACGGUCCCUCCAUUACCUUUCCCUGAACCCCCAAUCAGUGCACACACACACACAAAAAACACCCAUGGCACAACCAGAAACGUCCUUAACCUCUUGUUAGCACCAUAAACAUGCCACAUGCACUGACCAUAACAUUAAACAGCUUGGAAUGAAACAGGCUCAUAAGUACAAAAUCUUCUCCAUAAAAGAUAACUGUCGGGUACCUGCCACAAAAUCUGCAGACAAGCACAGGUCUGUGUUUGAAGUGUACUGCACAUACCAGUCCAUGACUACUUAAUGCCCCUUUUAUAGUUUGUUGCACU
rnacentral:lncRNA from 1 species